rnacentral:rRNA from 1 species
UGAAUAAUCUGGUUGAUCCUGCCAGUAGUCAUAUGCUUGUCUCAGAGAUUAAGCCAUGCAUGUCUAAGUACAUACCUUCAAACGGUGAAACCGCGAAUGGCUCAUUAAAUCAGCUAUGGUUCCUUAGAUCGUACAUACUACAUGGAUAACUGUAGUAAUUCUAGAGCUAAUACAUGCCACUAUGCCCUGACCCGCAAGGGAACGGGUGGAUUUAUUAGAACAGAACCAACCGGGAAUGGCUUCGGUCGUUUCCGUUGCACUCUGUGAUGACUCUGGAUAACUUCACUGAUCGCAGUCGGCCUUGUGUCGGCGACGGAUCUUUCAAAUGUCUGCCCUAUCAAUUAACGAUGGUAGGUGACCUGCCUACCAUGGUUCUAACGGGUAACGGGGAAUCAGGGUUCGAUUCCGGAGAGGGAGCCUGAGAAACGGCUACCACUUCCAAGGAAGGCAGCAGGCGCGCAAAUUACCCAAUCCCGGCACGGGGAGGUAGUGACGAAAAAUACGGAUACGGGACUCAUAAGAGGCUCCGUAAUUCGAAUGAGUACAUUUUAAAUCCUUUAACGAGGACCAACUGGAGGGCAAGUCUGGUGCCAGCAGCCGCGGUAACUCCAGCUCCAGAAGCGUAUAUUAAAGUUGUUGCAGUUAAAAAGCUCGUAGUUGGAUCUGGGUUGCAUGGCUACAUGCCGUCGCUUGUGGGUUUGGUCUGGGUAACCGGAUCAAGCUUGCGAGUCGGUCUAGUGGUUGUGCUUCCUUUCUGCUGUGUCUGUUUACAGGUGUCAGCGUGACUGGUGGGCUUGCCUGUCGGUCUGUUGACAUGCUUCUUGAUGCCUUUAAACGGGUGUCGGAGGCGGACAGCACGUUUACUUUGAACAAAUUUGAGUGCUCAAAGCAGGCCUUUGUGCCUGAAAAUUCUUGCAUGGAAUAAUGGAAUAGGACUUCGGUUCUAUUUUGUUGGUUUUCGGAUCCGAAGUAAUGGUUAAGAGGGACAGACGGGGGCAUUUGUAUGGCGGUGUUAGAGGUGAAAUUCUUGGAUCGCCGCCAGACAAACUACAGCGAAAGCAUUUGCCAAGGAUGUUUUCAUUGAUCUUGAGCGAAAGUCAGAGGUUCGAAGACGAUCAGAUACCGUCCUAGUUCUGACCAUAAACGAUGCCAACUGACGAUCCGUGGUGGUUCUUUAUGUGUCCCCACGGGCAGUCCCCGGGAAACCCUUAAGUCUUUGGGCUCCGGGGGAAGUAUGGUUGCAAAGCUGAAACUUAAAGGAAUUGACGGAAGGGCACCACCAGGAGUGGAGCCUGCGGCUUAAUUCGACUCAACACGGGAAAACUCACCCGGCCCGGACACUGUGAGGAUUGACAGAUUGAUAGCUCUUUCUUGAUUCGGUGGUUGGUGGUGCAUGGCCGUUCUUAGUUGGUGGAGCGAUUUGUCUGGUUAAUUCCGAUAACGAACGAGACUUUGGCCUGCUAAAUAGUAUGCCUGUCCUCUGUGCUCGUGCAGGUUGCGUUAUCUAUUGCCUCCUUAUGGGGGUAGUGGGUACGUUGACCGGCGGGUGCGGUGCAGGUACUUACUUCUUAGAGGGACAAGCGGCGCUCCAGUCGCACGAAAUUGAGCAAUAACAGGUCUGUGAUGCCCUUAGAUGUCCGGGGCCGCACGUGCGCUACAAUGACGGUUUCAGCGAGUUUGGAAUCCUGGCCUGAGCAGGUUGGGUAAACUGAAUCAUAACCGUCGUGACUGGGAUCGGGGCUUGCAAUUGUUCCCCGUGAACGAGGAAUUCCUGGUAAGUGCAAGUCAUAAGCUUGCGCUGAUUACGUCCCUGCCCUUUGUACACACCGCCCGUCGCUACUACCGAUUGAAUGGUUUAGCAAGGUAAUCGGAUUGGUGACAUUGUAGUGGCUUCGGCCGCUCAAAUGACGCUGAGAAGAUGACCAAACUUGAUCAUUUAGAGGAAGUAAAAGUCGUAACAAGGUUUCCGUAGGUGAACCUGCGGAAGGAUCAUUACCGAA